UCGAAUAUCACUUGGUUCAAAACACCGGAUCCCAUCAGAACUCCGCAGUUAAGCGUGCUUGGGCGAGAGUAGUACUAGGAUGGCUGACCUCUUGGGAAGUCCUCGUGUUGUACCCC
rfam:Gossypium raimondii chromosome 1, whole genome shotgun sequence.